rnacentral:rRNA from 1 species
UGGGGAAUUUUACGCAAUGGGGGAAACCCUGACGUAGCGACACCUCGUGAGCGAAGAAGCCCUUUGGGGUGUAAAGCUCUGUCAGCUGGAACGAAAAUACAUAUGACGGUACCAGCAGAGGAAGCAUCGGCUAACUACGUGCCAGCAGCCGCGGUAAGACGUAGGAUGCGAGCGUUGUCCGGAUUUAUUGGGCGUAAAGAGUUCGUAGGUGGUUUGUUAAGUCUGAUGUUAAAGAUUGGGGCUCAACCCUGAAACUGCAUUGGAUACUGGCAGACUUGAGUGUGGUAGAGGCUAGUGGAAUUCCCAGUGUAGCGGUGAAAUGCGUAGAUAUUGGGAAGAACACCGGUGGCGUAGGCGACUAGCUGGGCCAUAACUGACACUGAGGAACGAAAGCCAGGGUAGCGAAUGG